CAGAGGGAGGAAGCACAGCAGAGCUCACACAUCAGACAGCAGUGCUCGUGAGCGUUUCGGGAGCUGAAGCUCUUCUCACAGAGCGAGGGACACAGCAGACAGCAGACACCAUGGAGCCCCCCUUAGCCCAUGCCCGCAGAGGGUGCAUCCCCUGGAACGGGCUCCUGCUGGCAGUCCCACUCAUAACCUUCUGGAAGCUGCUCACCACUGUGAAACCCACUAUUGAAUCGGUGCCCAUCAAUGCUGCGGAAGGCACGGAUGUGCUUCUACUUGUCCACAGUGUGACAGGGGAUCUUCUAGGCUACAGCUGGUACAGAGGAGAAAGGGUAGAGAACAACCAAAUAAUUGCAUCACAUAGAAUAGACUAUAGUACAAGCACCACUGGGCUUGCACACAGCGGUCGAGAGACAAUAUACCCCAAUGGGUCCCUGCUGUUCCAGAAUGUCACCCAGCACGACACAGGAUACUACACCCUGUUCAUGAUAAAGAAUGAUUUACAGACUGAAAGCCUAGCUGCACAGCUCCGCGUAUACCCGGUGUUGCGCACCCCAGUCAUCACCAGCAACAACUCCAACCCCAUGGAGCAGGACACUGUAGUGUUAACAUGUGGGCCUGAGACUCAGAACGCCUCCCACAGGUGGUGGGUCAACGAUCAGAGCCUCCCCAACAGCACCAGGCUGGAACUGUCUGAGGACAACAGGACUCUCACUUUAUUCCAUGUCACGAGGAAUGACACAGGACCCUAUAUGUGUGAAACUUGGAACCCCGUGAGUGUCAGCCGCAGUGACCCAUUCACCCUGAAUGUCAUCUUUGAUUCAACACAAGGAGGUUCUUCUGGCCUCUCAGGUGGUGCUAUUGCCGGCAUUGUGAUUGGAGUCCUGGCUGGCGUAGCUCUGAUUGCACCCCUGGUGGAUUUCCUGUAUAUGAGAUAGACUGAAGGGUAUGAUGCCUUUCCUCUUGUUCUGCUUUCCCUGAGGCUAAUCGUCAUGCUCAGGAGAGGGAAGGAGACUUCAUCUCUGUCUCUGGACCUGGAUCUGCUCCUCAUGCUUCCUAAAAUCUUUCUUCUUGGCAUUAAUUCCUGUGGGUCUCUUCUUCCCUGGUCUUCACGCUUCCUGUGCCCUACUCUGUCUUGGACAUAGUUAUUCCCAUCCCCACCUGGUUUACAGGGGGCAGAACGAAUUAUGUUCCUCUGUCCCCAGUCAGGGAAGCCAAGGUCCAAGAAGGAAAACUAAUGAGGAAAUGAAAGAAGCAGGAGGAAGGGGGUCCUGCGCUCUGUCGACAACAGUAGCAGGAGGAGGGAGGGACAGGACAGGAAGAGAACCUAAGAAAAGCAGAAACAACCAAAGGCCUCCUGGGCAAUAAAUAAAGUGACAAAGAAACAGCAUCUACCUACAAAAGGGGAAAGGUGUCAGGGUAGAAAUAAGCUCAGAAGCAGUUGGCAUGAAUGGCCCUAAAUGUGAACAGCCAGUAAGCAGGAGAGGAGUAAACACCAGAAGGGAUGAUGGGUAGAUUGAAGGAGGAGGUCCUCAGAGGAAACAGGGCCAACCAAGGUAUAAAGGAACACUGAGGAGCCCCAAGGAGUCAUGCUGACAGGGUCCUUCCUAAUUCAAGGAGCAAAGGUCCUGUGCCUGGGAAUAGCAGUCACAGUGUCUGAUAUUUAUUUAGGGCAAGUGACCAGCGCGAUCUCACAGAGCACAAAUCCUCAGACCACAACCAGAGUCGGGGCCACUCUGACAAUUCACCUAACAAGAUUGACGAAGGUGCGUAUUCUGCCCUGAACUUCAAUGCCCAGGAAUCAAAGAAACCAACUUCAGCCUCCCAUCCCUAACAGCCACAGAAACAGUUUAUUCAGAAGUGAAAAAUAAGUAAUGCAACCAGUCCUGCUCACUGCACUUAUUCCAAGCUUCUCGUCCCCAUCCCUAGGAGAUCCCUUUGCCCUCCGGGGAAAAUGUGAAUAGUGUCUUUCCCCCCCUUUCAUCCCUAAUGAGGCUCCUCCAGGCUGCCUGGUCACAGUCCCUUCCUUCAGUGUCAGUAGAUGAAAAGGUACAUCCAGGAGGAGGUCUGUAGGAAACCCAACCUUCCUUGUCAUUGAACUUUGGCAAAGCAGACCUUGGGAGAGAGUUGCCAGAACCUCCACGCCUCCCCAUUUCCUGACCUAAACUGGUUUUAAACUUGCUCAUUCCUUCCCACCCCAGUCCUUUCAUAUUGGAGUUUAACUUGAAUUUGCCAUAACCUGGAAAAUUAUGUCCUUGAUCCACUGAAAUGCAUGUGCCAGAAAAGGAAAAGGAAAAGGAAAAACUUCUCCUGCUCUCUGAAGCCCGGUGUGAACCCACCAUUCACAGGAAAACACAUACAUAACCAAUUCUGAACUGGGAAAUUCUAUACCUUUGUCCACUUUCAGGGUUGUCUACCUGCAGGACCAGGGCUAAACAACUUACUACUUAGCUAGAAUACCACCUAAACCUUUGAAAGCCUGUCUUCAGAGAACCUACUAGAAGCAACUAGAAAACUUCUCAAAGUCCAUAAGUGAAUCCUAAUGGAAAUUGCAAAAAAUGCACAUACUGUUUUAAUAACUUUAUGGGCUUCAUUAAAGGCAAUGCUCCGAGAUGGAGGGAUUAUCGCUUUAGAGGACAAUCAGCUCUUAACAGAGACAAUCUGCUGGGAUUUGGGAAAGGAAUCAGAAAGCUACCCUGCAGAGAUUAUUUAAAUAAUGGUUAAAGAAUGUACAAUUUGGGGUAUUGGGUUUUUUCCUUCCUUCUGAGACAUUUGCCAUUUAAAUUUUUGUAAUUGUUUGUUUAUGUGAAAGGGGUUAUGUUUACUUAAUUUGCUGUGUAAGCCAAUCUGAUUGCCUUAGGUGAAAGAAGCCACCAAAACCCCUCAAGUCCCUCUGGCCAGGAGCUCCUCAAGCUUUUUAUGUCAGGGGCUCCACACAGAAAAUAAGAAGCAGCAGUUUUCUACGUUCAUGGCCAGAAAGGGAUCUCGCUCAGUUUCUAGGCACCUCAGACCAACCAUCAGCACCAUUCUAUUCCGCGUUUCUGCCUGUGCAUGUUCCAUCUGCCCCACUCACCUUCUCAGGAAACCUUGGCCUCUGCUAAGGUGUGUUUGGUUCUUGAGAAGCAGGAGCACCUGAAGGGGACACGACCACCCACGCAGCUGGCCUCGUUUACAACCUAGAAAGCUGCACUGGUGCUGAUGCUCCUUAGGACACAAGGGGAGGAUUAUAGUUCAGCUCUGGGCUUCGUGAAAGCCUCUGAAAUUUGUUUUCUCCCAUGGGGUCUAUGAGACCCAAUGUGUCAGCAUAAAAAGGACGGGCAGGAGAAGGAGAGGCACGUCUACUUCCCACCCAGCCUCCUUCUGCAUGGAUGGAACCUCCUUGAGGCUGUUGAGAGAAAGGUUUUAUUCCAUAUUCAUUACUUGAUCUAAUGCUGUGUGGAACUGGCCCCCUCAAAGAGGGUUGGUUGGGAGUUCUCUGUACUCAGGUACCUCUUUCAGGGUUUUUUAACCCUGACACAGACUUGUAUAUACCUCUCCUCAUCCACACUAUUCUGUGUAAUUUAAUUUUGCCUGGCUAAGGCCGCUUCUGAAUUAUUUGUAAAAUUUGCUCUAUAUUUAUAAUAAAAAUUAUACAUCAGGCAUCAACA